GCUUGACUGUAGCUUGUAAUUGGAUUCGGGCUUUUUUUGCGCAGCCUAGGUGGGAGGCAAUGAUGAUUUUUUCCGGAAAAUUUGAGCCAUUCGUGAGAGACCACUCUGAGAAAGCUAGAAUCCUAAUGAUGAUCCUUGAAUCAGGACAUUUGACAGUUGCAGGUGGGCAGUUUUACUGGGGCGGUAGCCUCCUAAAAAGUAACGGAGGCGUGCAAAGGUUCCCUCAGGCUGGACGGAAAUCAGCUUAAGAGUGUAAAGGUAGAAGGGAGCUUGACUGCAAGACAAACAAGUCGAGCAGGGG
rnacentral:rRNA from 1 species